GAUGAACGCUAGCUACAGGCUUAACACAUGCAAGUCGAGGGACCGGCGCACGGGUGAGUAACACGUAUCCAACUUGCCCUUUACUCGGGGAUAGCCUUUCGAAAGAAAGAUUAAUACCCGAUGUAAAGGAUGGGGAUGCGUUCCAUUAGGUUGUUGGUGAGGUAACGGCACACCAAGCCUUCGAUGGAUAGGGGUUCGGAGAGUAAGGUCCACCACAUCGGAACUUAGACACGGUCCAAACUGCGAGGGGAGGCAGGAGUGAGGAAUAUUGGUCAAUGGGCGUUAGCCUGAACCAGCCAAGUAGCGUGAAGGAGGAUGGGUUAUGGGUCGUAAACUUCUUUUAUAUAAGAAUAUGUAUUAUAUGAAUAAGGAUCGGCUAACUCCGUGCCAGCAGCCGCGGUAAUAC
rnacentral:rRNA from 1 species